rnacentral:lncRNA from 1 species
CUCAGGCCCCCGCUGUGCCUUGCACCAAUGUCCAAGGUAUUGUGAGAGGACUGGGCUGCUUCCGGCUCCUUGUGAGAAGGUUCCCUUUGUCCUGCUCUGUGCCGUCCAGCCCCCACGAGGUCCUCUUAUCAAGACAGCAGGACAUCCAGGCAGCAACAACAGCACAGCUGAAGACAUGAAAGAGGACUUCCAGAGCUGCUUCAGAACGUGGAAAGAACGAUGGAGCAGGACAGGCUCGCUGCAGUUGGAGAAGAAAGUGGGCACCUAAGUGCUUAAGCCUCGACACCACCCUGCCGCCUGGCCGUGUGGCAGCUGUCUGUGUGCCUGGCAGCCUUGGCACUGGGCACUUCGCUCUCAGUCUGGUCAGCUCUCUCUGUCAGACUUCUACCGCAUGGGCCGUGAGCUGCCCACAGCAGCCUGGAGAGGAGCUGAAGCCAGGACAGGUGAAGGGAAGAACAAGAAGCCAGGUCUACAAAGAGGAAGAUGGGCCAGGGCCGAGGCCUUGGGGGACUGGAAGUCAGGGCACCCUGUCCCACUGCUGGGUUGCACCUAAGCCCACAGAGUUCUAACAUGAGCCACAAAUACAAGCCUCAACUGCAGUUUACAUUUUCUAGUAACCACAGUUUAUUCUUUCAAAUUUCUCCCCGCUCCCCCUUCCUUCUUCUUCUUCUUAGUUUGCAAUACUGGGGAUUGAACCUGGGGCCUUCACACUGAGCCACAAUCUCCAGCCCUUUUUCAAAAUUUUUAUUUUUGACACAGGUUCUUGCUCAGUCACUACGUUGCCCAGGCUGGGCUUGAACUUGCAAUCCUCCUGUCUCAGCCUCCCAGAGUGCUGGAAUUACAGGUGUAUGCCACUAUGCCCAGCUAUUAUAGCCACAUUUUAAAAAGUAAAAAGCAACAGGUGACAUUAAACAAUACAUUUCACAUAUCUCAAUGUACCCCAAAAUAUCAAUAUAAAAAUGAAUGAGA